rnacentral:rRNA from 1 species
CACUCCUGCGGGAGGCAGCAGUGGGGAAUUUUGGACAAUGGGCGAAAGCCUGAUCCAGCAAUGCCGCGUGAGUGAAGAAGGCCUUCGGGUUGUAAAGCUCUUUUGUCAGGGAAGAAACGGUGAGAGCUAAUAUCUCUUGCUAAUGACGGUACCUGAAGAAUAAGCACCGGCUAACUACGUGCCAGCAGCCGCGGUAAUACGUAGGGUGCAAGCGUUAAUCGGAAUUACUGGGCGUAAAGCGUGCGCAGGCGGUUUUGUAAGUCUGAUGUGAAAUCCCCGGGCUCAACCUGGGAAUUGCAUUGGAGACUGCAAGGCUAGAAUCUGGCAGAGGGGGGUAGAAUUCCACGUGUAGCAGUGAAAUGCGUAGAUAUGUGGAGGAACACUGAUGGCGAAGGCAGCCCCCUGGGUCAAGAUUGACGCUCAUGCACGAAAGCGUGGGGAGCAAACAGGAUUAGAAACCCUGGUAGUCCCA